GCGGGCGGAGCGCCCCCAUCGGCGGCCGGGCUCCGGUGGGGGGAAAGGGGCCGCGCCUCGGCACCGGGGGUGGCGACGGGAACGCCCCGGGACGCUGAGGGGGGAGCACGGGGAGAUGGAGAGAGGGGGGCAGAGCCCUGCCUGGGUACCUGGCGGGCUCAGCCCUGCCAGCCUUCCCCUCCCGCUCCUUUUAUUUUUAACGCUGAGGCUUGUGAGAAGCCUGUGAAGUAGUUGCUCAGGAAGCCUGAGGAACCAGAACCAAAGUCUGCUCCCUUAGCGUGUUUCAUGCCAACUGCCUGAAAUACAUUCAUGCACCGCUUCGUGCGUUCUCCCCUUCGCUGACCUAUAAAUGGUCCUCGGCCGCCUUUUGGCUGGAACGGUUUAGGAAUUGACCACAUCAGCAGAUUCAUCAGCCUUUCGGAUAUGGUUGCUGUCUCGCAAUCCAGCCUGUGAUCCUCUGCCAAGUACUUCUUCAGCUCCUUGUAUGCCCAAAUUGGUGUAAGGCUCAACACAAAUAAAUGGUGCUUGCCCC